rnacentral:rRNA from 1 species
GACGAACGCUGGCGGCGUGCCUAAUACAUGCAAGUCGAACGCUUCUUUCCUCCCGAGUGCUUGCACUCAAUUGGAAAGAGGAGUGGCGGACGGGUGAGUAACACGUGGGUAACCUACCCAUCAGAGGGGGAUGACACUUGGAAACAGGUGCUAAUACCGCAUAACAGUUUAUGCCGCAUGGCAUAAGAGUGAAAGGCGCUUUCGGGUGUCGCUGAUGGAUGGACCCGCGGUGCAUUAGCUAGUUGGUGAGGUAACGGCUCACCAAGGCCACGAUGCAUAGCCGACCUGAGAGGGUGAUCGGCCACACUGGGACUGAGACACGGCCCAGACUCCUACGGGAGGCAGCAGUAGGGAAUCUUCGGCAAUGGACGAAAGUCUGACCGAGCAACGCCGCGUGAGUGAAGAAGGUUUUCGGAUCGUAAAACUCUGUUGUUAGAGAAGAACAAGGACGUUAGUAACUGAACGUCCCCUGACGGUAUCAAACCAGAAAGCCACGGCUAACUACGUG